rnacentral:rRNA from 1 species
UUGAUGGCGACCGGCGCACGGGUGAGUAACACGUAUCCAACCUGCCGAUGACUCGGGGAUAGCCUUUCGAAAGAAAGAUUAAUACCCGAUGGCAUAGUUCUUCCGCAUGGUGGAACUAUUAAAGAAUUUCGGUCAUCGAUGGGGAUGCGUUCCAUUAGGUUGUUGGCGGGGUAACGGCCCACCAAGCCUUCGAUGGAUAGGGGUUCUGAGAGGAAGGUCCCCCACAUUGGAACUGAGACACGGUCCAAACUCCUACGGGAGGCAGCAGUGAGGAAUAUUGGUCAAUGGACGAGAGUCUGAACCAGCCAAGUAGCGUGAAGGAUGACUGCCCUAUGGGUUGUAAACUUCUUUUAUACGGGAAUAAAGUGAGGCACGUGUGCCUUUUUGUAUGUACCGUAUGAAUAAGGAUCGGCUAACUCCGUGCCAGCAGCCGCGGUAAUACGGAGGAUCCGAGCGUUAUCCGGAUUUAUUGGGUUUAAAGGGAGCGUAGGCGGACGCUUAAGUCAAUUGUGAAAGUUUGCGGCUCAACCGUAAAAUUGCAGUUGAUACUGGGUGUCUUGAGUACAGUAGAGGCAGGCGGAAUUCGUGGUGUAGCGGUGAAAUGCUUAGAUAUCACGAAGAACUCCGAUUGCGAAGGCAGCCUGCUGGACUGUAACUGACGCUGAUGCUCGAAAGUGUGGGUAUCAAACAGGAUUAGAUACCCUGGUAGUCCACACAGUAAACGAUGAAUACUCGCUGUUUGCGAUAUACAG